GGUGAACGCUAGCGGCAGGCUUAAUACAUGCAAGUCGAGGGGCAGCACGGGUAGCAAUAUCUGGUGGCGACCGGCGCACGGGUGCGUAACACGUAUGUAACCUACCUUAAACUGGGGAAUAGCCCCUUGAAAGAGGGAUUAAUACCCCAUAACACUGCGAGAAGGCAUCUUUUUGCAGUUAAAGUUCCGACGGUUUAAGAUGGACAUGCGCGACAUUAGCUAGUUGGUGAGGUAACGGCUCACCAAGGCAUUGAUGUCUAGGGGUUCUGAGAGGAAAAUCCCCCACACUGGUACUGAGACACGGACCAGACUCCUACGGGAGGCAGCAGUAAGGAAUAUUGGUCAAUGGGCGCAAGCCUGAACCAGCCAUGCCGCGUGCAGGAUGACGGCCCUAUGGGUUGUAAACUGCUUUUGUACGGGAAAAAACCCCUUUACGUGUAAAGGGCUGAUGGUACCGUAAGAAUAAGGAUCGGCUAACUCCGUGCCAGCCGCCGCGGUAAAAC
rnacentral:rRNA from 1 species